AUUGAACGCUGGCUGCAUGCCUUACACAUGCAAGUCGAACGGCAGCACGGGAGCAAUCCUGGUGGCGAGUGGCUAACGGGUGAGUAAUAUAUCGGAACGUGCCCAGUCGUGGGGGAUAACGUAGCGAAAGCUACGCUAAUACCGCAUACGAUCUAUGGAUGAAAGCGGGGGAUCGCAAGACCUCGCGCGAUUGGAGCGGCCGAUAUCAGAUUAGGUAGUUGGUGAGGUAAAGGCUCACCAAGCCGACGAUCUGUAGCUGGUCUGAGAGGACGACCAGCCACACUGGGACUGAGACACGGCCCAGACUCCUACGGGAGGCAGCAGUGGGGAAUUUUUGGGACAAUGGGCGCAAGCCUGAUCCAGCAAUGCCGCGUGCAGGAUGAAGGCC
rnacentral:rRNA from 1 species